GUCAGGGAUAGCUCAGUCUGUAGAGCACGAUACUCUUAUUCUCAGGAUUGUGGGUUCGAGCCCCACGUUGGGCA